GGGGCGCAAGGUCGGUGGGCGGGCGAGGAGGCCGAAUCUGCUCCCUGGAACCUCGGCAGCAUCCACCAGAGAGCGCAGCCCACCAGGAUGAUUUCCCGGGGAUGGCUCUUCGACUCCAGAGCCAAAUAACCACGUAAGAAGAUGAGAACCUUGGGAAUAAGCUUUGUUGGAGAAAGUCUCACCCAUGUCCAGAGCUUCGAGGUUUCCUAGGGAUACACUAGCGGAUAUUUCCAAAAGAGUCUUUUUGACAGACUUCCUUAUAUCACUGCUCUGCCCUGUCCGCGUCAGUGAGCUGCCGCGUUUCCACUUUUCACCACAAGAUGGCAGUGUACCGCAGAAGAAUAGGUGUUCCCAGCAGUCUCCGUAUCUACUC